UUAGAUACCCUAGUAUGAAAAAUUUAAUAGGAUUAAUAUUAUAAUAAGAAAUUUAAAAUUUUUGGCGGUAAAUUAUUAUGUUAAAGGAGCUUGUUUUUAAGUAGAAAUUACUCUUUAUAUUUUAUUAAUUUUUGUUUAUAUAUCUCCGUUAUUAGGUAAGUCUUUAUAAAUUUUUAUUUAUAUUUCAGGUCAAGAUGUAGCAAUAAUUAAGAAGGAUUAGCUACAAUAAUGUAGUUUUUGGAGUUUAGAAAGGAAAUAUUCAGAUGAAAUUGAAUUUAAUUGUAAUUUAAUUUAAAAUGAUUAGAUGAAAUUUAUGUAAUUUAUGUACAUAUUGCCCGUCAGUUCUUUUGUUAAAGGGAAAAAGUCGUAACAAAGUA
rnacentral:rRNA from 1 species